UGCAGUCAAGUCAGAUUCAGUGCUCGUUCCUGUCACAGCAGGGGCUGGCCCAGAUGGCUGCCACAGCAAGCUCCACAGCUGAUGGGCCCUGGGUCACCCACUCUGGGACCUGGAGAUAAGUUUGGCUGUGGACACUG
ensembl:snoRNA SNORA5C small nucleolar RNA, H/ACA box 5C